rnacentral:rRNA from 1 species
GUUGAACGCUGGCGGCAUGCUUUACACAUGCAAGUCGAACGGUAACAGGCCUUCGGGUGCUGACGAGUGGCGAACGGGUGAGUAAUGCAUCGGAACGUGCCCAGAGGUGGGGGAUAACGCAGCGAAAGCUGUGCUAAUACCGCAUGUGAUCUGAGGAUGAAAGCGGGGGACCAGGCAGCAAUGUUUGGCCUCGCGCCUUUGGAGCGGCCGAUGUCAGAUUAGGUAGUUGGUGGGGUAAAGGCCUACCAAGCCGACGAUCUGUAGCUGGUCUGAGAGGACGACCAGCCACACUGGGACUGAGACACGGCCCAGACUCCUACGGGAGGCAGCAGUGGGGAAUUUUGGACAAUGGGCGCAAGCCUGAUCCAGCAAUGCCGCGUGCGGGAAGAAGGCCUUCGGGUUGUAAACCGCUUUUGUACGGAACGAAAAGGCUCUGGCUAAUACCUGGGGCUGAUGACGGUACCGUAAGAAUAAGCACCGGCUAACUACGUG